UACGUAGGGCGCAAGCGUUAUCCGGAAUUAUUGGGCGUAAAGAGCUCGUAGGCGGUUUGUCGCGUCUGCCGUGAAAGUCCGGGGCUCAACUCCGGAUCUGCGGUGGGUACGGGCAGACUAGAGUGUGGUAGGGGAGACUGGAAUUCCUGGUGUAGCGGUGAAAUGCGCAGAUAUCAGGAGGAACACCGAUGGCGAAGGCAGGUCUCUGGGCAUUAACUGACGCUGAGGAGCGAAAGCAUGGGGAGCGAACAGG
rnacentral:rRNA from 1 species